GAUGAAGAACGUAGCGAAAUGCGAUAAGUAAUGUGAAUUGCAGAAUUCAGUGAACCAUCGAAUCUUUGAACGCACAUUGCGCCCCUUGGUAUUCCGAGGGGCAUGCCUGUUCGAGCGUCAUUAUAACCCUCAAGCUCAGCUUGGUGUUGGGGCCUGCUGCACUGGCAGCCCUUAAAAUCAGUGGCGGCGCCAUCUGGCUCUAAGCGUAGUAAUUCUUCUCGCUAUGGAGUCCUGGUGGAUGCUUGCCAUCAACCCCCAAUUUUUCUAUGGUUGACCUCGGAUCAGGUAGGGAUACCCGCUGAACUUAAGCAUAUCAAUAAGCGGAGGA
rnacentral:misc_RNA from 1 species